GCAGGAGCUGGUUUUUUGAAAAGAUCAACAAAAUUGAUAGACCACUAGCAAGAUUAAUAAAUAAGAAAAGAGAGAAAAAUACUGGCAAACUGAAUCCAGCAGCACAUCAAAAAGCUUAUCCACCAUGAUCAAGUUGGCUUCAUUCCUGGGAUGCAAGGCUGGUUCAACAUACUCAAAUGAAUAAACAUAAUGCAACAUGUAAACAGAACCAAUGACAAAAACCACAUGAUUAUCUCAAUCGAUGCAGAAAAGGCCUUUGACAAAAUUCAACAGCACUUCAAGCUAAAAACUCUCAAUAAACUAGGUAUUGAUGGAAUGUAUCUCAAAAUAAUAAGAGCUAGCCUGCACGUUGUGCACAUGUACCCUAGAACUUAAAGUAUAAUAAAAAUAAAUAAAUAAAUAAAUUCACUCAUGUAUCAACAUCUAUUUCUGGGCUCUUAUCUUUCAUUGCUUUUUUUAUUUUAAUUUUUUAACAAUGUGAGGCAAACUUCCUGAACAUUAUCUAAUUUCAUAAUAAUCUUGUCCAUUCUCAGGCACUUAUUCUUCUAUAGCAAUGUUAACAUGAUCCCCCAUGCCAACUCUUCAAAACAAAAACAAAUGAGAAUUGAUUGAAUUGAUAUUUUGAGUGAUAUUGUCUUCUUUUCCAAGAACAUGGUACAUUUCAGUUUGAUCAGAUUUUGUCUUUCAUUAAGGUUUGAUACUUCUCUGAGCAUACAUUCUACACCAUUUAUGCCAGAUUUAUUUCAAAAAUUUUAUCAUUUGUAUC
rnacentral:lncRNA from 1 species